GUUUCUUCAUCAGAACAGAGUCAUUCAUACUAGCAUCUUCCUCUCCACAGGGAGGCAGGAGACCCCCGGGAGGGCGGAGCAUGACUUUUGUCCAGGAGGCUGGACUACCAACUUCAGCAGGGACUGUGCUUGGAGCAGGUGGGGGAGGUGAGAGCCAUGAGUCAAAUCGUGGGGUCAGGGCACUGCAGCACCAGAUCCUCCUUCUGAAGGACUCGUUGCCCCAGCUGUUGGGAACUCUGUCAGGUCUUCUGGGAUGGCUCCAGCUGCCAAGAGAUGCUUCACUAAGGUUAUACUCCUUCCCGCAUCGCCUGACUUACUGAGGCAGCAAUAGGAAGGGCCUACCUCAGCCCUACUCAGGACACCUCUCAAGGGCACAUAUGCUCCAGAGGCCCAUGGCGUUGGCCCUGCACCACAGCUCAACUUCUCCUCUACCCACUCUUGUUUUUUCCUCUCCCUUCCACAGGUGUUGAUCCCAGGGCCCUCCUUAAUAAACACCUCAAACUCCAUCUUAGAGUCUUCUCC
rnacentral:lncRNA from 1 species